UACGGAGGGUGCAAGCGUUAUCCGGAUUCACUGGGUUUAAAGGGUGCGUAGGUGGGUCUGUAAGUCCGUGGUGAAAUCUCUAGGCUUAACCUGGAAACUGCCAUGGAUACUAUAGGUCUUGAAUACUGUGGAGGUCAGCGGAAUAUGUCAUGUAGCGGUGAAAUGCUUAGAUAUGACAUAGAACACCAAUUGCGAAGGCAGCUGGCUACACAAAUAUUGACACUGAGGCACGAAAAGCGUAGGGGAUCAAAACAGG
rnacentral:rRNA from 1 species